rnacentral:rRNA from 1 species
UGAGUCCAGAUCGAAUGGAGCCUCUUGGUUCGACUCUGGGGCUGCUCGCAGCCCGAGCGUGGUUCGUAAUGCUUCUCACGCAGUGUGCAUUUGCAUAAGGACAGUUGAUCGUGAUAUCGAGAACAAAACAGCGUGCUUAAGGCUGGAUCAGUAGAUGACAAAGCUUGCUAUAUCAAUGAACCGACCGGUUAUGUGCGGUUUGCAGGUUUCUGCAUGUUAUAGCGGGGAGUCUGAGCUUGUUGGCGUUGGGAAUGUACCCAUCGGUUCACCUCGGUGACCGUGGGACCACAGACCCAAUCAGCUACUCGUUUCAACGAUAUUAACAGGGACCGAUGGAGCAGUCCGUAUUGUCAGACGAGGGGUGAAAUCCUUAGACUCUGACAAGACGAACAAGGGCGAAAGCACUCUGCUAAGAGGCCUUCAUUAAUCAAGAACGAGAGUGCAGGGAUCGAAGAUGAUCAGAUACCGUCGUAGUCUGCUACUGUAAACGAUGCAAACUAGGGAUCGGUUGAUGGGACAACAUGAUUCUGUUGACUCGGUUGGUACCUCCGCUUCUCUCUUAACGCGAAAGCUGCAAGUCUUCGUGUUCAGGGGGGAGUACAGUUGCAAGGCUGAAACUUAAAGGAAUUGACGGAAUGACACCACAAGGCGUGGAUGCUGCGGCUUAAUUUGACUCAACACAGAGAAUGUUACCAGAUCAUGAGGUUUGGAGGAUUGACAGAUUGACAGUUCUUUCUUGAUUCAGUUAAUGGUGGUGCAUGGCCGCUCCUGGUUGGUGGAGUGAUUUGUCUGGUUGAUUCCGUUAACGAACGAGAUCCCACCCCUUCGAUUUCAGUUAUAUCGUACGUAAUCAUUGGACGCUAGCUCAUGUGGUUCGUCCGUUGGUGAGAUCUAAGAUGUAUGCAAGGGGACUAUGUGUGUUGAUAACACAUUGAAGUCUGGGCCAAUAGCAGGUCUGUGAUGCUCCUAGAUGUUCUGGGCUGCACGCGGCAUACAAUGGUGAAAGCAGUAGGAUUGGUUCGGUCGAGCUCCUGUUUCGAAAGUAUUGGGAAAUCCCCUCAGAUUUGACUGUGGCUGGGAUAGACAAUUGCAACUGUUUGUCUUGAACUAGGAAUGCCUUGUAAGCACAUCUCAUUACAGUGUAUUGAAUGCAUCCCUGCCCUUUGUACACACCGCCC